ACCAGCAGCCAAAUCACUCUGCAGCACCCAGCUGGCAGCCCCACUGAAGCUUAGCAGGUGUGAGCCUGGCCAGUACCUGGAUGGGAGACUCCUGGGAAAAGCUAAGGUUGCUGCUGGAA
rnacentral:rRNA from 1 species